rnacentral:rRNA from 1 species
UACGGGGGGGGGCAAGCGUUGUUCGGAAUUACUGGGCGUAAAGGGCUCGUAGGCGGCCAAUUAAGUCAGACGUGAAAUCCCUCGGCUUAACCGGGGAACUGCGUCUGAUACUGGAUGGCUUGAAUCCGGGAGAGGGAUGCGGAAUUCCAGGUGUAGCGGUGAAAUGCGUAGAUAUCUGGAGGAACACCGGUGGCGAAGGCGACAUCCUGGACCGGUAUUGACGCUGAGGCGCGAAAGCCAGGGGAGCAAACGGG